rnacentral:rRNA from 1 species
UACGUAGGGUGCGAGCGUUAAUCGGAAUUACUGGGCGUAAAGCGUGCGCAGGCGGUUCGUUGUGUCGGCGGUGAAAGCCCCGGGCUCAACCUGGGAAUGGCCGUUGAAACUGGCGAACUGGAGUGUGGCAGAGGGGGGUGGAAUUCCGCGUGUAGCAGUGAAAUGCGUAGAGAUGCGGAGGAACACCGAUGGCGAAGGCAGGUCUCUGGGCAUUAACUGACGCUGAGGAGCGAAAGCAUGGGGAGCGAACAGG